rnacentral:rRNA from 1 species
AAUCUCUGCAAUAGGCGAAAGCUUGACAGGGUUACUCUGAGUGAUUCCCGCUAAGGGGAUCUUUUGGCACCUUUAAAAAUGGUGCAGAAUAAGGGGUGGGCAAGUCUGGUGUCAGCCGCCGCGGUAAUACCAGCACCCCGAGUGGUCGGGACGAUUAUUGGGCCUAAAGCAUCCGUAGCCGGUACUGCAAGUCUUCCGUUAAAUCCACCUGCUUAACAGU